CCUUUUUGUUCGUUCGUGAAGAGUGUAUUAGAGAAUAAAACUUUCACUAAACCUAUUUCAGUUCAUUUCCUUCCAUUUUGAAAGAAAAUUAAAAACAAAUGACAUUUGGAGAGCAAUUGGUACUGUAAUUUGUCUUGGGUUCCUUUCAAGUCUCUUUUCUCUUGGUCAGUGUGAGACGAUACACCAAUUAACUGGGCCACGCUAAUCAACACCAUUUGGCAGGGUACUUUGAUGAUUGUCAAAGCUUUUAUUGUCGUUGUAUACUUAAGCAUAGGCAUGAGAUAGAAUAGAUGUCAACAACAUGGAAAAAUUGCACACCAAGGAGAAAAUGUAUAAAAGGAGAAAACGACCAUGCUUAGCUUCCAAAGGAGAAUUCCUCUCCUCUGGCCAUUAAUGCGGAUGAAGAAACCCUUAUGUAAGAAAACAAAAAGUACCCACGUAUUACAGCAAGAGUAAUAUAAUUCUAAUCUAAAGAAAAUUUUCAACUAAGAUUUCUUCGUCAUCAUUUGCAAUUUUUUUGGAUUCUUCAGGAGAAGAUUAGUCUCUUUUAGGAAUUUGGCUCUUUAAACUGUGUAAUGUUGUUGAAUUGUGUCAAUAUCAAGUCCUUUCAACUUCACCACCGAUUCAACAUGCCCCUUCAGGGUAUGUAGCUCCCUCAGCCUUGCCACUUCAGCCCUCCGCUUGGCUUGCUCUGCAAUCUCUGAAAGUUCUCGGUAACUAUUUUUGUCAGCAAAGAGGUUGUUGGUUUCAGGAGGUUGAAGGCCAUGAAGGGUCCUCUGAGCUGUGGCCCAUUGAGCUUCUCUCUCUUCCUUCCCAUAGUCUUUCUUUGUUGUAAAGGCAGUCUUGUUCUCCAAAAGAUUAUCCCAAGCCUUGCCGCUGAGAAUGUAACGGAUUGCAAAUUUGAGCAGAUCAAGUGGCACAUAUGUAACCAAACUAUAGAGCCAGAUUACACCAGCCCAGCCCCAGCCACAACCCUUUAUACGAGCAAAACCCCAGUUUGCGUAAACUGCUAUCAAGGUAGCUACCUGCCAUUUACAGAAUGGUUCGUGCCUUAGUAUAGAAAUGCAGAUUUCUCAUGACACAUUGAAUCUUCCACAUUAAACAGGAAAAGACAGUGCCUCUGCUUUGAUCGAAAAGUCAGAUAACUCUGCUUUAAUCCAAAAACAAAUUAAGCCCAGUAGAGAUUAGUGGAUUGAAGCCUUACAAGCUGAGCAAUUACGAAUGCACUGACUAGAAGAAGUCCAGGACGUUCAACAAAGGACCAGCUGCGAGACCUUGUGACAAAAAUAAGGGCCUGGCUCACAAUACUCACUUGUAGGUAUAAAGCUGCCAUCAUUUCACGUUCCCUGCCAUGCAAUGAUCUUACGCCAAACUUGUCCUGCAUUGGCAAUAAAAUCAUAAAUAUCUAAAACAUGAAAGAGGAAUCAAAGCUUUUUCUCCAUCUGCCUCUCAAAAGGGAGCUAACUGCUCAGUAUUCUUACCGAAAAGAAGUUGGUUUCGUACAUAGCCCAGAAAAAUAUCACUGUCAUUAGUGCCAAGUAUCCUCCAAGAACAAUACCAGUACUGAAGAUCUCUUUAAGUUUCCAGCUGUCCGGCUGUGGUGAUGGUUUCACUCGAUCUUUUGAUAUUGUCAUGAUUGUUCCAUCAUUUAAAAUGGCAAUAAUUAGAACCAUGAAUGGAGCAAAGUCAUAUUUCCAUAUCAAGGCAAUAAACAUGAAGCCAAACACAAUACGGAUUGUAAUUGAGACUGCAUAUAUGGUGUAGUUCUUCAUCCUUUGGAAUAUGGCCCUGCUGGUCAGCACUGCACUAAUAAUUACACUAAGCCCAGGUUCUGUGAGGACGAUGUCAGAAGCACUUCUGGCAGCAUCUGUAGCAUCAGCAACAGCUAUUCCAAUAUCUGCCUUCUUCAAAGCAGGUGCAUCAUUAACACCAUCACCAGUCAUUCCAACAAUGUGCUUCCUUUCUUGCAACUUCUUCACGAUUUCAUAUUUGUGCUCUGGAAACACUCCAGCAAAGCCAUCUGCCUUCUCAAUCAACUCUUCUACAGGAAGUGCAGCAAUGCUAGCAUCCUUAUCCUGACCAAGUAAAGAAGCAGAUGGAUACAUGUUUGUUCCCAUUCCAAGCCUCCGACCAGUUUCCUUACCAAUGGCAAGUUGAUCCCCGGUAAUCAUUUUAACAUUCACACCAAGGUUGAGAGCUCUUCUGAUGGUUUCAGCACUGUCGUGCCUGGGAGGAUCAAACAAAGGCAACAAUCCAACAAACUGCCAUGGGCCUCCUGGACUAUCCUUUGUUUUCUCAGGUACUUCCUGUCUUGCAACAGCUAAAGAACGAAGCCCACGUUCAGCAAACUUAUCAAUCACACCAUGAACCUUCUUCUUGACAUCCUCCUUGCUAUUGCAUAGGGCUAAUAUCUGCUCAGGGGCACCCUUGCUAGCUCGGUGCCAGUUUCCAUCAGAAUCAAUGUAUGUAAGGGCAGUUCUCUUGUCUACAGGAUUGAAUGGAAGAAAAUGGACCUCUCUAAUACCAGCUCUUGCCUGACCAGUCACCAAUAUUGUUAUGAUCAGAAACUUGAUUCUUCAUUCUUGUGAAAACUUAAGAGCAAGGCAGCAUAGGAGAAAGCAACAGUAAAGGUUAUACCUCCUUUGGGUCUGCAAGCAUCCCUACAAUUGCACAAUCAAUCGCAUCCUGAUUCUCAGUUCUUGAAGCUCUAGCUGCAAGAAGUAUCACAUACUCUUUAUCCACGCCCUUUGCAAAUACUUCAAUCAGGGUCCUAUCAACAGUAAGCUUGUUCAGGGUCAGAGUUCCAGUCUUGUCACUGCAGAGGACAUCCAUGCCUGCCAUUUCCUCAAUGGCAGUCAUUCUCUUUGUAAUUGCACCCUGCUGAGAUAGCCUGUGUGAACCAAUAGCCAUGGUGACAGAUAAAACAGUUGGCAUAGCAAUGGGAAUCCCUCCGAUCAAAAGAACCAAUAGGUUGUCAAUUCCUUGUCUGUACUUGCGAUGCUGUAUUGGAUACAUUACUAUAAUUUCAAUGAUUAUUCCAACAGCGAUUGAGCAAAUACAGAAGUUACCAAUGGCAGUUAGAACUUUUUGGAAAUGUCCAACUUGAUUAGUGCUGUCCACCAGAUGGGCAGCCUUACCAAAGAAGGUAUGCACACCAGUAGCAAUUACUACUGCUUCAAUUUCGCCCUGUUUACAUGUUGAACCAGAAAACACUUCAUCUGAGGGGUUCUUAGUAACAGGAAGUGACUCUCCAGUAAGGGCGGAUUGAUCAACCUUCAAAGGAUCACCCUCAAGAAGACGGGCAUCAGCAGGGAUUAUAUCUCCCAAUUUAAUGCUGAUAAUGUCCCCUGGGACCAAAAUUGCAGCUUCUUGCUCAGUCCAACUACCAUCUCUCAGAACCUUAGUCUUGGGAGCAAGACCAGCCAUAAGGGCUGCAGCUGCAUUUCCAGCAUUGUUUUCUUCGAUGAAACUGAUUGUGGAGUUUAUGAACAACAAAGCAACAAUCCCAACGAAGUCCUGCCAAUCAGGAGGUCUCCCAUCACCAUUGGCUAAAGCUAUGGCCAUGAUAGCUGCUGCUUCCAUAACCCAUGACAAUGGGUUCCACAUAAAACCCAAGAACUUGAGAAUUUUGCUCUCCUUUUUCUCUUCUAGUUUGUUUGGCCCAAAAACUUGAAGCCGAUUGGCUCCUUCCUCUGAAGUAAGACCUUCCCUGGUACAUUUCAGCUGCUCAAACACUUCCUCUAUGGGAAUCCGUUCCAGAUCAACGGACUCGUUUUUGAUCUCCUCAAGACUGAUGCCUCCCUUGGUAGCCAUACUCGAUAAAUCAGAAGCUACAAAUGAUAUAGCAAGAAAGAGAGAAGGGGGAUUGGUUUCAGAGAAUCAUAACAGAAGAAGUAGAAGGGAUGCGAAGCGUAAAGCGAGUGAGAGAGAAAAAUAAAUGCAAUGAAAUGAGACAAAUAAAGUCUCUCUCUCUCUCUC
rnacentral:misc_RNA from 1 species